rnacentral:rRNA from 2 species
AAAUGCAAGUCGAGCGGAUGAGAAGAGCUUGCUCUUCGAUUCAGCGGCGGACGGGUGAGUAAUGCCUAGGAAUCUGCCUGGUAGUGGGGGACAACGUUUCGAAAGGAACGCUAAUACCGCAUACGUCCUACGGGAGAAAGCAGGGGACCUUCGGGCCUUGCGCUAUCAGAUGAGCCUAGGUCGGAUUAGCUAGUUGGUGAGGUAAUGGCUCACCAAGGCGACGAUCCGUAACUGGUCUGAGAGGAUGAUCAGUCACACUGGAACUGAGACACGGUCCAGACUCCUACGGGAGGCAGCAGUGGGGAAUAUUGGACAAUGGGCGAAAGCCUGAUCCAGCCAUGCCGCGUGUGUGAAGAAGGUCUUCGGAUUGUAAAGCACUUUAAGUUGGGAGGAAGGGCAUUAACCUAAUACGUUAGUGUUUUGACGUUACCGACAGAAUAAGCACCGGCUAACUCUGUGCCAGCAGCC